GCGGCGGUGCAGGCUGCCAGAGAGAGCGCUGGACCACGGUGGCAGCGACCGAGGGUCUCUUGGCUACCUGUGCAGGGUUCUGGGGUACUCAAAGCCGCUGGAUCCCUUCGUGUUAGCCUGUUUAUCCCAGGGGAUCCCAGGGAGUUGGGUCUCUCCCAAGCCAAGCUUCUACUCCAGAGAAGCUGCCUCAGAGCCUGGUCAUGGCUAUGCUCCUGACCCCACAGGAACCAGUCAGUCUUCUGAGAGUGAAGGUGGAAGAAGGUAUUCCUGGGCAUCCAGAAUUCUUCCUGGGAGGAAACAGAUCUGACCCUGGGCCCUCUGGGCAGUGUUUCAGAGCAGGACUCCGAGAUGCAUGUGAAAGAGCAGAGGCACCUAUAUCUGCAGUACCUGUGAGGAUGGGCAUCUGGGCGAAGGCCGCACAGCGUCCAGACCACAAUUUUCCUUUCCAGGGCUCUGCUCUUCAUUGGGAGGGAAUCCCAGAAGAAGAAGAAGAAAGGCCUCUGACAGCUGGAUCCCAGAGGAACAGAGCCCCGUACCGGGUGGACGUGCUCAAGAACGGGAUCCGGUCUGGGCUGUACCUGAAGAACUGUGUCCUGUUCGGCAUGUUCUCGUGUCCACUGCCUCGCUCUCGGCUCCCUGAGGUUUGUGUGAGGCAGAGUGAGGGUUUGGUGUCAAUGAUGGC
rnacentral:lncRNA from 1 species